GAGUUUGAUCCUGGCUCAGAACGAACGUUGGCGGCGUGGAUUAGGCAGCAAGUCGAGCGACAAGGUGUGAAGUGCUUGCACGGAUCACUGGAGGAGCGGCAAACGGGGUAGUAAGGCGUCGGUGACGUACCCUCCGGACCGGGAUAGCCGCGGGAAACUGCGAGUAAUACCGGAUGACAUCUGCGGAUCAAAGGGUGAGAUUCCGCCGGAGGAGCGGCUGACGUGGUAUUAGCUAGUUGGUGAGGUAACGGCUCACCAAGGCGAUGAUGCCUAGGGGGUGUGAGAGCAUGGCCCCCACCACUGGGACUGAGAUACUGCCCAGACACCUACGGGUGGCUGCAGUCGAGAAUCUUCGGCAAUGGGCGCAAGCCUGACCGAGCGACGCCGCGUGCGGGAUGAAGGCCUUCGGGUUGUAAACCGCUGUCAGGGGUGAAGAAAGGUGCGGGACCGCCCGUACUUGACGUUAGCCCCAGAGGAAGUCACGGCUAACUCCGUGCCAGCAGCCGCGGUAAGAC
rnacentral:rRNA from 1 species